GAUGAACGCUGGCGGCGUGCCUAAUACAUGCAAGUCGAGCGAACGGACGAGAAGCUUGCUUCUCUGAUGUUAGCGGCGGACGGGUGAGUAACACGUGGAUAACCUACCUAUAAGACUGGGAUAACUUCGGGAAACCGGAGCUAAUACCGGAUAAUAUUUUGAACCGCAUGGUUCAAAAGUGAAAGACGGUCUUGCUGUCACUUAUAGAUGGAUCCGCGCUGCAUUAGCUAGUUGUAAGGUAACGGCUUACCAAGGCAACGAUGCAUAGCCGACCUGAGAGGGUGAUCGGCCACACGGGAACUGAGACACGGUCCAGACUCCUACGGGAGGCAGCAGUAGGGAAUCUUCCGCAAUGGGCGAAAGCCUGACGGAGCAACGCCGCGUGAGUGAUGAAGGUCUUCGGAUCGUAAAACUCUGUUAUUAGGGAAGAACAUAUGUGUAAGUAACUGUGCACAUCUUGACGGUACCUAAUCAGAAAGCCACGGCUAACUACGUA
rnacentral:rRNA from 1 species